rnacentral:rRNA from 1 species
UGAGCAAUCUGCCCUUCACAUCGGAAUAACCAUUGGAAACGAUGGCUAAUACCGAAUAUGACUUCGGAUCGCAUGAUCUGAAGUGGAAAGCUCCGGCGGUGAAGGAUGAGCUCGCGGCCUAUCAGCUUGUUGGUGAGGUAACGGCUCACCAAGGCUUCGACGGGUAGCCGGCCUGAGAGGGCGACCGGCCACACUGGGACUGAGAUACGGCCCAGACUCCUACGGG